AUGCGUGGUAUCAAGAGGUGCAUUGAGGCGCUCCUGCAGCCUCCUCCCGGCACGGGACUCCUCACAACCCCCAGCCUCAGCUUCCCUGACAGGGCAGGGGCUCACUCUUCUCCACUCCGGGCCAGGAACGCAGCCUGCUUGCCUUUUGUCCAAUUGGGUGCUCUUUCUUUGCGACUGAUACAAAGUGGGAACAAACUCCGCUUCCGGUGAUGCCCGGGCCCCAGGAGGCUGGGGGAGAAGUGCACGCUGCCCAGCCUUCAACCUGAACUGCCCCCAGCACUUCCGAGCCCCGACCCCUGCAGCUGUGAGGGGAGACCAGUCUAACCCCUGACACGGGGCAUCAUGGGAGCCCUAGCCAGGGCACAGAAAUGACAGGCCUGGCCCACACCACAGGAUGGCUGGUGGCCGCAGGAGCUCUGCCUCUUGGUGACCAUCCAGAGGCUCUCUGACAACCCUACUCAGAUGUUCCCUGGAGCCACAUGGCAAGAGUUCUGCCAGAAGAGCCAUGAGCCUGGCACUCUGUGGGUUCUGGUCCCUGGGGGGGCACCCGUGCCCCAGGAGCACCUCCCCAAGGCCAU
rnacentral:lncRNA from 10 species